AAGUCGUAACAAGGUUUCCGUAGGUGAACCUGCGGAAGGAUCAUUAAAGAGUUGGGGUCCUUCGGGGCCCGAUCUCCCACCCUUUGUUGUCGCGAAUUUGUUGCCUCGGCGGGUUGUUCUUGUUAAAAGAACGACGGGCUCCGGCCCGCCCGCCGCAGGACCAUUCAAACUCUGCUUUAACAAUGCAGUCUGAGAAGAUUUUAAUAAUAAAUCAAAACUUUCAACAACGGAUCUCUUGGUUCUG
rnacentral:misc_RNA from 1 species